CUCAGAGCCCUCCCGGCCCCGCACAGCCCUAGCGAGUGUCUCAGAGCCCUACCGAGUGCCCCGGAGCCCUCCUGGUUGCCUCACAGCCCCACCGGGUGUCUCAGAGCCCUGCCGGCCCCGCACAGCCCUCCCGGGUCCCUCAGAGCCCUCCCGGGCGGCUCCCGGCCGCUGUCGGUCUCCUCACGCUGCCAGAAGGCUGCGAUAGCGUUCGCGGACCAGAUGAGAUGGAUGUUUACAACAGCGUUUCCCCCCACACCAACACGUCCUGUUGGAAGACCUGUGCGUGCUGCAUAUGUGUGUCAGAUACCGAAAUGUAAAGAGGUAAAAAUCUCAAGAGCAGAGGAAGAAGGAGUUCACGGGGGUUUGCACUCUUUCCAAGUUUUCAAGUGUCCAUCCUCACCUGAUGGUCCCAUCAGCAUCUGCUCAAGUCAUGGAAAGACUCUUCUUGUUUUUAAAGAGUUCCUGAUUGUGCAGUUUGGAUAAGAUCUAUAAAGGACCAACAAAAUCUCUGAAGCAUCAUGGUGCCUUCUCUGUACCCAUGGAAAAUGAGGUCUGAAACCAUCUGCACUUCGCCAACGAGCUUAUUCUUAGUUGCCACGAGGCUUUGCGUGGCUGCCCUAAAUUCCUGCCUGGAUCUUGCUUCAGAGCUCACACAGAGUACGAGAUCCAUAAAUGACACCACAUGUAGCUGCUGCUUACAUCUCUCCCAUGGAGACCCCACAGGUGGGAAUGGACUAAUUCAAGUAAUGCCAGAUGGGAACCUCUCCAUAUCCCUGCUUCAUCCUUGUAUCCAUUCACCCUUAAAGCUUGUUGCUGUCCUGCCAUGGGGGGUCCUCCACAGAGCUUUUGAGGAGGAGCCAAGGAAACCUGCUGGGGAACUGGACAUUGUGGCCUGAAUAUAUGGACAUUUUGGGUUUCAUCUGAAACAGUCUCUGGAGCACAUUUAGUGGGUCCUUUGGUUUAGCACAGUACAGAGCUGCAGUGAAGAGGGAGAGAAACAAAAAUCUUAUAUAAUCUUUCAGACUGAAGGAAACAAUUUCACCUGUAUCUGUUUCUGGACUUUGUAUCAUUCUCUGUAGUAUCUUCUGCACUCUGUAUUAUUCCAUUGCUAAAUAUAUUUUGAAACUCUA